AUUGAACGCUAGCGGGAUGCUUUACACAUGCAAGUCGAGCGGAGCGGCGGACGGGUGAGUAAUGCCUAGGAAUCUGCAUGGUAGUGGGGGAUAACGUUCGGUAACGGGCGCUAAUAUCGCAUACUAUCACAUGAGCCUAGGUCGGAUUAGCUAGAUGGUGGGGUAAAGGCCUACCAAGGCGACGAUCCGUAACUGGUCUGAGAGGAUGAUCAGUCACACUGGGACGGAGACACGGUCCAGACUCCUACGGGAGGCAGCAGUGGGGAAUAUUGGACAAUGGGGGAAAGCCUGAUCCAGCCAUGCCGCGUGUGUGAAGAAGGUCUUCGGAUUGUAAAGCACUUUAAGUAGGGAAGCGUUACCUACAGAAUAAGCACCGGCUAACUUCGUGCCAGCAGCCGCGGUAAUUC
rnacentral:rRNA from 1 species